UACUCUAAUUCUGAAUGGGACCAACUGUUAUCUGAAACAGUUAAUUCAACUCUCUAAGAGUUAAAUUGACACUGUUUUUUACUGUGUAAUAGGCUGUGGAUGUUUC